rnacentral:rRNA from 1 species
GACGAACGCUGGCGGCGUGCUUAACACAUGCAAGUCGAACGGAAAGGCCCGGCUUUUGUGCGUUGCUCGAUUGGCGAACGGGUGAGUAACACGUGAGUAACCUGCCCUUGACUUUGUGAUAACUUCAGGAAACUGGGGCUAAUACCGGAUAGGAUCUCCUGCUGCACGUUGUUGGUUGGAAAGUUUCGGCUGUUGUGUAUGGACUCGCGGCUUAUCAGCUUGUUGGUGUGGUAGUGGCUUACCAAGGCUUUGACGGGUAGCCUGCAUGAGAGGGUUACCGGGCACAUUGGGACUGAGAGACGGAGCAGUAUCGUACGGGAGGCAGUAGGGGGGAAUAUUGCAGAAUGGGCGGAAGCGUGAUGUAGCAACGCCGCGUGCGGGAUGACGGGUUUCGGGUUGUAAACAGCUUUCGAAUGUGAUGUAGAGUGCGUGACGGUAAUGGGUAAAGAAGCAACGGCUAACUACGUG